UAGGGAAUAUUGGGCAAUGGAGGCAACUCUGACCCAGCCAUGCCGCGUGCAGGAUGAAGGCCUUCUGGGUUGUAAACUGCUUUUAUCUAGGAAGAAAAUACUCUUGCGAGAGGAACUGACGGUACUAGAUGAAUAAGCACCGGCUAACUCCGUGCCAGCAGCCGCGGUAAUACGGAGGGUGCAAGCGUUGUCCGGAUUUAUUGGGUUUAAAGGGUGCGUAGGCGGCUUCAUAAGUCCGUGGUGAAAGCCAACAGCUCAACUGUUGAACUGCCAUGGAUACUGUGAGGCUUGAGUACAGACGAGGUAGGCGGAAUGGAUCGUGUAGCGGUGAAAUGCAUAGAUACGAUCCAGAACUCCGAUUGCGAAGGCAGCUUACUAGGCUGUAACUGACGCUGAGGCACGAAAGCGUGGGGAGCGAACAGG
rnacentral:rRNA from 1 species